rnacentral:sRNA from 2 species
AUUAAACUAUUCUAGGGUUCCGUAAUAAGUUAUUUAUUAGACUGGUCCGAGAGAAUAGGCACAUUUAAUUAAUGUGUACACGGAAGGAGAAAAGCCUGGGAGAU